UUAAGUUCAGCGGGUAUCCCUACCUGAUUCGAGGUCAAACUGGGUGGUAUCUUCGUGGUCGCUAGCCCGCCGCAAGCCUCCCAGAGCGCAUUGUGCUGCGCAAGAAGCCGACGAUGCUGCUGCCAAUCAAUUUGGGGCGAGUCCUCGCGUGAAGCGGGGACAGACGCCCAACACCAAGCGGAGCUUGAGGGUGUAAAUGA
rnacentral:misc_RNA from 1 species